ACUCGGGCACGAUCCUUAAUGUAAGGAACCGACCCGUAGUUCAAUCCUGAGGGA
rfam:Corynebacterium sp. HMSC08F01 Corynebacterium_spHMPREF3171-1.0_Cont416.2, whole genome shotgun sequence.